GGAAUAUUGCACAAUGGGCGCAAGCCUGAUGCAGCCAUGCCGCGUGUAUGAAGAAGGCCUUCUGGUUGUAAAGUACUUUCAGCGGGGAGGAAGGCGGUGAGGUUAAUAACCUCAUCGAUUGACGUUACCCGCAGAAGAAGCACCGGCUAACUCCGUGCCAGCAGCCGCGGUAAUACGGAGGGUGCAAGCGUUAAUCGGAAUUACUGGGCGUAAAGCGCACGCAGGCGGUCUGUCAAGUCGGAUGUGAAAUCCCCGGGCUCAACCUGGGAACUGCAUUCGAAACUGGCAGGCUAGAGUCUUGUAGAGGGGGGUAGAAUUCCAGGUGUAGCGGUGAAAUGCGUAGAGAUCUGGAGGAAUACCGGUGGCGAAGGCGGCCCCCUGGACAAAGACUGACGCUCAGGUGCGAAAGCGUGGGGAGCAAACAGGA
rnacentral:misc_RNA from 1 species